CCUACGGGAGGCUGCAGUGGGGAAUAUUGGACAAUGGGGGGAACCCUGAUCCAGCCAUGCCGCGUGUGUGAAGAAGGCCCUCGGGUUGUAAAGCACUUUCAGUGAGGAAGAACGCCUGGUGGUUAAUACCCAUCAGGAAAGACAUCACUCACAGAAGAAGCACCGGCUAACUCCGUGCCAGCAGCCGCGGUAAUACGGAGGGUGCGAGCGUUAAUCGGAAUUACUGGGCGUAAAGCGCGCGUAGGUGGCUUGAUAAGCCGGUUGUGAAAGCCCCGGGCUCAACCUGGGAACGGCAUCCGGAACUGUCAAGCUAGAGUGCAGGAGAGGAAGGUAGAAUUCCCGGUGUAGCGGUGAAAUGCGUAGAGAUCGGGAGGAAUACCAGUGGCGAAGGCGGCCUUCUGGACUGACGCUGACACUGAGGUGCGAAAGCGUGGGUAGCAAACAGGAUUAGAUACCCGUGUAGUC
rnacentral:rRNA from 1 species